CUCUGGGUAGUCCUUCGCCUUUGGGAACGCCCACUAUCUGGCCACAACCCCAACCCUGUGCCUGCUGGGAAUUUCGCCUGACUGGAGAGAAACCCUUCCAGCCCCUGAGGCAGAGUGCAGGCAGAGCUGGAAGAUCCCUCACUAUCAGCACUUGUCUCCUGAAUACCAGCACUCUAGCACAACACCAAAAAUCCCUCCCAGGCCAAAGACCUGACCACUCUAGCUGUGAGCUAAUGCUCCAUCUUCCCAAAAAAGUUACAGCACACGGACAUCCUUAUCUAAGCCCGAAGGGCCUUUCCAGAGGCCUACGCCACAGACCUUGACGGUUUGCAGCUGUAGCGUGCAACUGUAAAAAUAGUAAAGGCACUUCUAAAAGGUCAGCAGAAACAGGCGUCCUGGAAGAAACAUUCCUGAGACGUCUAGAUUUGGUGGGACUCUUUGCCAUGUCUUCAAUGUCUUGUGAAAACCCUCUCACCCUGACUGCAAGAUUCCUCUCUUGGAAACUUGCUUACUGUCCCUCUUGACAGUGUAGUCUGAUCUAAAUAAACUCUUGCUCU